CGGGGGAGGCUGGAUCCUGGGCUGUGUCCCGGCGCCCUGUGCUCCGGACCCUGCGCUGGUGGAUUCGCGCUCCCGGGCCGCGCAACCCCCU
rnacentral:pre_miRNA from 1 species